rnacentral:misc_RNA from 1 species
ACGCAUCUCUGGCGGGAUCCGACGCGCCCUGCUCCGGCCCCAAAGCCGUGCAGCGGGCGCCCGGUCCCGUCCAACCUUUGCAAACCCACCGUGCACAUUCACGGCAGAGGGCCCUCGGGGCGAGAGCUUUGGGGGCUCGAAGCCGCUUCACUAAACUCUUGUAAAAAGAAUGUACUGCGGCCUCUGCGUCGCCUAAAUACGAAA